AUAUGAAACGUGUCAAUCUAAUUUCCGAAUAUAUUAUAAUAUGCUGUGUUUUAAAUAAUAUUUGUUUAUUUAAAGAUGAUGAGUUCCUGAUCUACAUGAUACACCACCUGUAGAUGAAAAUGUACAAGAUCGUGGAGAGUUGGUUGCAAUUAAUUGUCAAGGAGCAAUUAAGAGGGAUGAUAUUUGUGAUCUAAUCUGAUACUACCUCUUCGACAUUUAUAGACAUAUCGUCUCAGCAAGCGAUCUGACGUCUGGACUUAGUAAAAGAACUCAAACUAAAGUGGAAAAAAAUCAAGGAGAAUAACCGAAAAAAGUGUAUACAUAAAUCCGGCAAGGCAGCAAAAUCAGACAAACCAUAUGUAUAUGCAAACAUUUUAGAGUUCCUUCGACUGACAAUGGAAACAGAAACACUGAGAGUAACAUAGCGGCACAAAACGACAGAGAGUACACCACAGACAAUGAAAACGUUAUAACCAAAGAGACUAACCACUCGAGCGUAUCUGAAGAAGAGUCUCCAGCUGUUCGAAGAAAAAUAAGUCUGCCAAAAAUUCUUUUGAAAACCAAUUAAUAAGUGUAUUAAAAGAACGCAGAGUUUCGAUGAUCAUUUCUGAUGUCUUUGGCUCCACAAAUCAGAAAAAUCACAGAAGACCAGCAAAAUCAAGUUUAUAUUGAAAUGAUACAAAUAAUUCAAAAAGUAAAAAAUUCUGAUCAAAUUCAACCACAAUCCAUUCUUUCUUCAGUGAACAAUAGUACUUUUCAACCCUUGCAAUAUUCAUGUAAUAAUAAUACUAACUCAUACCUGACAUACCCGUUCAUUUUCCAUCUACCAACAACUUCAUACAUUUCAAACACCUCACCAACACCUACAAAUACAAAUGCCCAUAAACUAUGAACCUCGAACCUCAUUAUAUAACUGGGAACAAUUCUUCAUUUGUGUCAAUUACUUCUCGAAAAAAUUCUAACAUUCACAGACAUCAACUAUAUUACCCACAUACCCAAUCAUCUGCUCUUACUCAACAACCACCCGUUACACCAAAUCAUACUGCAACUGUUAACUCUUAAUAUUCACAAAAAACUACCCUCACACUCCAUCUUUUACUACAUCUGUACCAACAGGUCACUCUGACAAUAGUUACUACACUAAAAACUUAACUCAUUAUAACACAGAUAAUACUAAUUUACA